CAGUAGCCGCGGUAACACGUAGGUGGCGAGCGUUGUCCGGAUUUAUUGGGCGUAAAGGGAGUGUAGGCGGUCUUUUAAGUCUGAUGUGAAAGCCCACGGCUCAACCGUGGAGGGUCAUUGGAAACUGGGAGACUUGAGUGCAGAAGAGGAGAGCGGAAUUCCAUGUGUAGCGGUGAAAUGCGUAGAUAUAUGGAGGAACACCAGUGGCGAAGGCGGCUCUCUGGUCUGUAACUGACGCUGAGGCUCGAAAGCGUGGGGAGCAAACAGGAUUAGAUACCCCUGUAGUCCCUGUCUCUUAUAC
rnacentral:rRNA from 1 species